UGCAGUACAUGCACACGCAACAGUGAACCAAGCGACAUACAUUAAUUGGCACGCAGAUGUUCACUGAAAGUGGGUCAAGUGUGGAAACAUCGCUCAUUUACAGGUCGUCCAAAGGUCUCCACGUCAUUUUAUCUGACUUUUUUGAGUGUAUGCUCACUCAUCUACUUCCCCGUCUUCUGGGAACGCUGUUACUCAACGAAGACGUCUUGGGGUUUCUGAUUUGGGGAGACGGAAAUUAGCCACUUGUCUCAUCACAGUUAUAGAUAGGAACAGGAGCUUAUGGAGAACAGACUAGAAAGUCAACCAGCCAACUGUCUAUCAAUCGUUUGACUGGAAUGACCAGUCUUGAAGGAGCUUCACCUGUGUUGCUGACACUCGGGCCUUCAGCAGCAAGUCAAACUUGAAUUAUUAAAUUCAUCUGAGCUAAAUCAGUUUGCGUAUUUGUAAAUACGAUUGCUAAAAUGCCUCUUUUUUAAUGUUCUGACAGUUUUCCAUUUUUACUUCUCAUGCAUUCAUUGUACAUACAUUCAUGAUAUUCCUCACCUAUGGACUGUGGGUCAUGAUCAAAAGAACGAGUCAUUCAAGUCUCUGGUGACUGCCUUAGAGAUAGGGCACGGCCAGCUGGGAGGAGACUGAGGAGUCGACCCAGGACCAGGUGCAGGGAUUAUAUCUCUUCACUGGCCUGGGAGUGUCUCGGGAUCCCCCAGUCGGACCUGGUGGACAUUGCUCGGGAGAAGGGCGUUUGGUGCGACCUUCUAAAGCUGCUGCCCCUGCGACCCGGCAACAAAUAAGUGGAUAGAUACUUAUAUUAUUAUAAGAGAGAAUGUAUUUUGAUAAUUUUUCUGUUAUGUUUCUCUAUAAAUCCACUUCUACUUGGCUGUACAAGCCGCCACACACAGCCCUCCGACCCAAGCGUGAGCACAGCUUCUCCUUCACUGCCCUCCUGCAUUUUCCGUGAGGGGUUGCCACAACAAGUGAGCCUCCUCCACCUUGACCUCGCUCGAUCAGCACACCUGUCCUCAUCUUGUCCUCCUUCAUCAUGUCCAUGAAC